GAUGAAGAACGUAGCGAAAUGCGAUACUUGGUGUGAUUUGCAGAAUCCCGUGAACCAUCGAGUCUUUGAACGCAAGUUGCGCCCGAAGCCAUCAGGUUGAGGGCACGUCUGCCUGGGCGUCACAUAUCGUUGCCCAAUGCCUAUUGCAGUGCAAUAGGAAUUUCUAAGGCGAAUGAUGGCUUCCCGUGAGCGUUGUUGCCUCGCGGUUGGUUGAAAAUCGAGUCCUUGGUAGGGUGUGCCAUGGUAGAUGGUGGUCGAGUUAGAACGAUACCGAUCAUGUGCAUGCUCCCCAAAAUAUGGCCUCUAUGACCCACACGCGUCUUUUGACGCUCAUGACGAGACCUCAGGUCAGGCGGGGCUACCCGCUGAAUUUAAGCAUAUCAAUAAGCGGAGGA
rnacentral:misc_RNA from 1 species